AUGGAAACAAAUAUAUCAUUGCCAGAGAUGGUAUGGUUACCACGAUGGUGGAUAUCCUCCCAGGGUGAAGUUACCAAAACCAAAUGGAGUUCACUGGACCUGAGCAGAUCAACUGUUGAGAGAAGACCUCUCAAAUGUUGCAACAUCCAUAGAAGAAUCAGAGGGAUGAUCCAUUCCAAGGUACAUUGGAAGAACAGAGGAAAGAAAGACAACCCAAGAUACUUCAUUGGAGUGUACUCAGUGGGCUGAAGGAGAAACAAGGAUCAUUAAAGUGAAAGAAUACCAGAACUUAAAAAGAGUUUAUGAAGG